rnacentral:rRNA from 1 species
CCAACCGGGAUUGCCUUAGUAACGGCGAGUGAAGCGGCAAAAGCUCAAAUUUGAAAUCUGGUACCUUCGGUGCCCGAGUUGUAAUUUGGAGAGGGCAACUUUGGGGCCGUUCCUUGUCUAUGUUCCUUGGAACAGGACGUCAUAGAGGGUGAGAAUCCCGUGUGGCGAGGAGUGCGGUUCUUUGUAAAGUGCCUUCGAAGAGUCGAGUUGUUUGGGAAUGCAGCUCUAAGUGGGUGGUAAAUUCCAUCUAAAGCUAAAUAUUGGCGAGAGACCGAUAGCGAACAAGUACAGUGAUGGAAAGAUGAAAAGAACUUUGAAAAGAGAGUGAAAAAGUACGUGAAAUUGUUGAAAGGGAAGGGCAUUUGAUCAGACAUGGUGUUUUGUGCCCUCUGCUCCUUGUGGGUAGGGGAAUCUCGCAUUUCACUGGGCCAGCAUCAGUUUUGGUGGCAGGAUAAAUCCAUAGGAAUGUAGCUUGCCUCGGUAAGUAUUAUAGCCUGUGGGAAUACUGCCAGCUGGGACUGAGGACUGCGACGUAAGUCAAGGAUGCUGGCAUAAUGGUUAUAUGCCGCCCGUCUUGAAACACGGACCUCCUGUGUGAAUUGAAUCCCCCUAAA